rnacentral:snoRNA from 1 species
AUCCCAUGAUGUGGACACUUACAAAGCAAUUCUUUGAAUCUUUCCUACGCCUCAUACAAAGACUCGUCAUCCAAUUGUUGGAAAGUGGUUAUCUUAUUUCGCAAUUU